rnacentral:rRNA from 1 species
GACGAACGCUGGCGGCGUGCCUAAUACAUGCAAGUCGAACGCAGUGGGGACGGGUGAGUAACACGUGGGUAACCUCCCAUCAGAGGGGAAAACACUUGGAAACAGGUGCUAAACCGAUACUGAUGGAUGGACCCGCGGUGCAUUAGCGAGUUGGGGGGGUAACGGCUCACCAAGUCGACGAUGCAUCGCGGGCCUGAGAGGGUGACCAGCCACACUGGGACUGAGACACGGCCCAGACUCCUACGGGAGGCAGCAGUAGGGAAUCUUCGGCAAUGGGCGAAAGUCUGACGGAGCCACGCCGCGUGAGUGAAGAAGGUUUUCGGAUCGUAAAACUCUGUUGUUGGAGAAGCGGUAUCUACCCAGGAAGCCCCGGCUAACUACGUGCCAGCAGCCGCGGUAAUAC